GGUGAUGUAGCUCAUUGGUAGAACAAUUGCUUAGCAUGUGCAAGGCCCUGGGUUCAAUUCCCAGUACCACCA
rnacentral:tRNA from 1 species